rnacentral:misc_RNA from 1 species
UCCGGUUUGUCACCGGCAGUCUCGCAUGAGUCCCCAACUUAAUGCUGGCAACAUGCGACGGGGGUUGCGCUCGUUGCGGGACUUAACCCAACAUCUCACGACACGAGCUGACGACAGCCAUGCAGCACCUGUGUCCAGGUUCCCUUUCGGGCACCCCCCCAUCUCUGGGGGGUUCCGGUGGAUUUAACCCAGGUAAGGUUCUUCGCGUUGCGUCGAAUUAAACCACAUGCUCCACCGCUUGUGCGGGCCCCCGUCAAUUCCUUUGAGUUUCAGCCUUGCGGCCGUACUCCCCAGGCGGGGCACUUAAUGCGUUAGCGCCGGCACCCAGGGGGUCGCUCCCCCAGGCACCUAGUGCCCAUCGUUUACGGCGUGGACUAC